UGGGCGUAAGCGGGCUGCAUAGCUCAGGGU
rnacentral:piRNA from 1 species